AUUGCACGCUGGCGGCAGGCCUAACACAUGCAAGUCGAGCGAGCGGCGGACGGGUGAGUAAUGUAUGGGGACUGCCCGAUAGAGGGGGAUAACUACUGGAAACGGUAGCUAAUACCGCAUACUAUCGGAUAACCCAUAUGGGAUUAGCUAGUUGGUGAGUUAAUGUCUCACCAAGGCGACGAUCCCUAGCUGGUCGGAGAGGAUGAUCAGCCACACUGGAACUGAGACACGGCCCAGACUCCUACGGAGGAAGCAGUGGGGAAUAUUGCACAAUGGGCGCAAGCCGUAUGCAGCCAGGCCGCGUGUAUGAAGAAGGCCCUAGGGUGGUAAAGUACUUUCAGUCGGGAGGCGUUACCGACAGAAGAAGCACCGGCUAACUCCGUGCCAGCCGCCGCGGUAAUAC
rnacentral:rRNA from 1 species